UACGUAGGGCGCAAGCGUUGUCCGGAAUUAUUGGGCGUAAAGAGCUCGUAGGCGGCUUGUCACGUCGGGUGUGAAAGCCCGGGGCUUAACCCCGGGUCUGCAUUCGAUACGGGCUAGCUAGAGUGUGGUAGGGGAGAUCGGAAUUCCUGGUGUAGCGGUGAAAUGCGUAGAUAUCGGGAGGAACACCAGUGGCGAAGGCGACUUCCUGGCCUGUUCUUGACGCUGAGGCGCGAAAGCUAGGGGAGCAAACGGG
rnacentral:rRNA from 1 species